GAAAGGAAUAUAGAGGGGGAAUCCCUGGGAAGAGAAGAGGGCACGGCGCUGAGAGCUCUCUCUUUCCUGCUACCAUGUGAAGAAGGACUUCGCUUCCCCUUCACCUUCCACCAUGACUGUAAGCUUCCUGAGGCAUCUCCAGCCAUGUGGAACACACCUUCUAAUUAGGUUAUGGAUCCUUGAUCAAGUUGGGCUGGAGCAAGGGAAAGCCUUGAUCAUGCCAAAGAAGUCGCUGUGGCCCAAUGGACAACAUUUUUCUGCAUGAAUUAACAUAUCAGUGUCUGUGUUGUAGAAGAAUCUUGGUGGAAAAAUUCUACAGAUCUGAGACCUUUAACAACACCAUGUGAUGAUUAUUACUGCUUAUGGGCAGCAAAUGGGAUUAGCAGACUGUGAUAUUGGCAAAAGAAAGCUGAUAUUCUUCUUUCCCGAAGGUAUACUACAUCAAAGACGG
rnacentral:lncRNA from 10 species